rnacentral:rRNA from 1 species
CCUACGGGGGGCUGCAGUGAGGAAUAUUGGUCAAUGGGCGGGAGCCUGAACCAGCCAAGUCGCGUGAGGGAUGACGGCCCUAUGGGUUGUAAACCUCUUUUGCCGGGGAGCAAAGUGCCGCACGUGUGCGGUUUGGAGAGUACCCGGAGAAAAAGCAUCGGCCAACUCCGUGCCAGCAGCCGCGGUAAUACGGAGGAUGCGAGCGUUAUGCGGAUUUAUUGGGUUUAAAGGGUGCGUAGGCGGACUCUUAAGGUAGCGGUAAAAGUGCGGGGCUCAACCUCGUCGAGCCGUUGAAACGGGGUGCCUUGAGUGGGCGAGAAGUACGCGGAAUGCGUGGUGUAGCGGUGAAAUGCAUAGAUAUCACGCAGAACUCCGAUUGCGAAGGCAGCAUACCGGCGCCCAACUGACGCUGAAGCACGAAGGCGUGGGUAUCGAACAGGAUUAGAUACCCCAGUAGUC